rnacentral:rRNA from 1 species
UACGUAGGGGGCAAGCGUUAUCCGGAUUUACUGGGUGUAAAGGGAGCGCAGGCGGUAUGGCAAGUCAGAUGUGAAAACCCAGGGCCCAACCCUGGGACUGCAUUUGAAACUGCCAUACUGGAGUGCCGGAGAGGUAAGUGGAAUUCCUAGUGUAGCGGUGAAAUGCAUAGAUAUCACGCAGAACUCCGAUUGCGAAGGCAGCAUACCGGCGCCCGACUGACGCUGAAGCACGAAAGCGUGGGUAUCGAACAGG